UACGCUGGCGGCACGCCUAACACAUGCAAGUCGAACGAAGUAGCAAUACUUAGUGGCAGACGGGUGAGUAACAUGUAGGUAUCUUCCCUUUGGCCUGGAAUAACACGAGGAAACUUGUGCUAAUACCGGAUAAGUCUUUACGGAGAAAGCUUUAUGCACCAUUGGAUGAGCCUGCACUUGAUUAGUUUGUUGGUGGGGUAAUGGCCUACCAAGACUUUGAUCAAUAGCUGAUUUGAGAGGAUGAUCAGCCACAUUGGGACUGAGACACGGCCCAAACUCCUACGGGAGGCAGCAGUGGGGAAUCUUGCACAAUGGAGGAAACUCUGAUGCAGCGAUGCCGCGUGAGUGAAGAAGGCCCUUGGGUUGUAAAGCUCUUUCGUCGGGGAAGAAAAUGACUGUACCCGAAUAAGAAGGUCCGGCUAACU
rnacentral:rRNA from 1 species